rnacentral:rRNA from 1 species
GACGAACGCUGGCGGCGUGCUUAACACAUGCAAGUCGAGCGGAAAGGCCACUUCGGUGGUACUCGAGCGGCGAACGGGUGAGUAACACGUGAGUAAUCUGCCCCUGGCUUUGGGAUAGCCACCGGAAACGGUGAUUAAUACCGGAUACGACCACUUCUCGCAUGGGAUGGGGGUGGAAAGUUUUUUCGGCCAGGGAUGUGCUCGCGGCCUAUCAGCUUGAUGGUGAGGUAAUGGCUCACCAUGGCUUCAACGGGUAGCCGGCCUGAGAGGGUGACCGGUCACACUGGGACUGAGACACGGCCCAGAUUACUACGGGAGGCAGCAGUGGGGAAUAUUGGACAAUGGGCGGAAGCCUGAUCCAGCAACGCCGCGUGAGGGAUGACGGCCUUCGGGUUGUAAACCUCUUUCAGCAGGGACGAAGCGCAAGUGACGGUACCUGCAGAAGAAGCACCGGCCAACUACGUGCCAGCCGCCGCGGUAA